UACGGAGGGUGCAAGCGUUAUCCGGAUUCACUGGGUUUAAAGGGUGCGUAGGCGGGCAGAUAAGUCAGUGGUGAAAUCUCUGGGCUUAACCCAGAAACUGCCGUUGAUACUAUUUGUCUUGAAUAUCAUGGAGGUAAGCGGAAUAUGUCAUGUAGCGGUGAAAUGCUUAGAUAUGACAUAGAACACCAAUUGCGAAGGCAGCACACUACGGGGUCAUUGACACUGAGGCACGAAAGCGUGGGGAUCAAACAGG
rnacentral:rRNA from 1 species